ACGGGUGAGUAACGCGUGGGAACGUGCCCUUCGGUUCGGAAUAACUCAGGGAAACUUGAGCUAAUACCGGAUACGUGCGAGAGCAGAAAGGUUUAUCUGCCGAAGGAUCGGCCCGCGUCUGAUUAGCUAGUUGGUGAGGUUAUGGCUCACCAAGGCGACGAUCAGUAGCUGGUCUGAGAGGAUGAUCAGCCACACUGGGACUGAGACACGGCCCAGACUCCUACGGGAGGCAGCAGUGGGGAAUAUUGGACAAUGGGGGCAACCCUGAUCCAGCCAUGCCGCGUGAGUGAUGACGGCCUUAGGGUUGUAAAGCUCUUUUCUCCGGGACGAUAAUGACGGUACCGGAGGAAUAAGCCCCGGCUAACUUCGUGCCAGCAGCCGCGGUAAUACGAAGGGGGCUAGCGUUGCUCGGAAUCACUGGGCGUAAAGGGCGCGUAGGCGGCUGAUUUAGUCGAGGGUGAAAGCCCGUGGCUCAACCACGGAAUGGCCUUCGAUACUGAUUGGCUUGAGACCGGAAGAGGACAGCGGAACUGCGAGU
rnacentral:rRNA from 1 species